GAUGAACGCUGGCGGCGUGCCUAAUACAUGCAAGUCGAGCGAACAGACGAGGAGCUUGCUCCUCUGACGUUAGCGGCGGACGGGUGAGUAACACGUGGAUAACCUACCUAUAAGACUGGGAUAACUUCGGGAAACCGGAGCUAAUACCGGAUAAUAUAUUUAACCGCAUGGUUCAAUAGUGAAAGACGGUUUUGCUGUCACUUAUAGAUGGAUCCGCGCCGCAUUAGCUAGUUGGUAAGGUAACGGCUUACCAAGGCAACGAUGCGUAGCCGACCUGAGAGGGUGAUCGGCCACGCUGGAACUGAGACACGGUCCAGACUCCUACGGGAGGCAGCAGUAGGGAAUCUUCCGCAAUGGUCGAAAGCCUGACGGAGCAACGCCGAGUGAGGGAUCAAGGUCUUCGGAUCGUAAAACUCUGUUAUUAGGGAAGAACAAAUGUGUAAGUAACUAUGCACGUCUUGACGGUACCUAAUCAGAAAGCCACGGCUAACUACGUG
rnacentral:rRNA from 1 species